UACGAAGGGGGGCUAGCGUUGCUCGGAAUCACUGGGCGUAAAGAGCUCGUAGGCGGUUUGUCGCGUCUGCUGUGAAAACCCGAGGCUCAACCUCGGGCCUGCAGUGGGUACGGGCAGACUAGAGUGCGGUAGGGGAGAUUGGAAUUCCUGGUGUAGCGGUGGAAUGCGCAGAUAUCAGGAGGAACACCGAUGGCGAAGGCGGGUUGCUGGGCCGACACUGACGCUGAAGCGCGAAAGCCAGGGGAGCGAACGGG
rnacentral:rRNA from 1 species